ensembl:ncRNA lncRNA:CR43608 long non-coding RNA:CR43608
GCAAUUCUGUCUGAAAAACACACACACACACUGAAAAUGGGUAUCGAUGCAUCCGGCAGCUGUGGCAACUUCCGGUCGACUUCAGAUUUCGAUUCGGGACAUUCAAUGAGCGCGACAGAUUAGCCGCUCGCCAACCACAAAAAGCCAGUGGGAAAGCCGGGAAAUGCGAGGAAAAGCAGGCAAAUUGGAGGCGGGCAUGGCAGAGAUGGCGGGAAAAAUGAGACCGACAAAAGCGACAGAGUCCGUAAUGAUGCGGAAGUGGACAAAAGGCAGCCGCAGUCUCACAAAAGCCAAAAGCUGUAGCUGCCAAUUCCACAGCCCAUUUGGAUGCCCAUGACUAUGGCAAAAGGCAUUCUAAAACUGCGGUCAAUUGAAAUGGCAAUCAAGUUAGCGAGCUCGUCCUUGUUCCUUGUCAAAAGGACACAUACCCAGACCAAGGAGCAACUGGAAUGGGACGACUGUCCUGCCGUUGGCUGACAUUCACACCACAGAAGAAAGCCAAAGUUCCCAGGCAAUAAUUACAUAGGACAUGUCCUACGAACUGAAAGUGAUCGGUGAUACAAAAGGGAUUGAUGAUUUAAUUUAUUUCGUAAUUGAUGCGUAUCAAAGUUAUUUUCUAAGAUAUUAUAUUUUCAGUACUUAUCUGGUUAGCAAACUUUUUUCCUUAAAUGGAAGGAACAAAUGUGUUCCCCCCUUUAGUCUCUUAAGUGAUUUUCAUUAGCCGCAGAAAACGUAAUAAAUAAAAUGGCCAAACGGAAAUAGCUCCUAGGAUUGAUUGUCUAGUUAUUGUUUUCGUUCAGCUGGC